rnacentral:rRNA from 1 species
GAUGAACGCUGGCGGCGUGCCUAAUACAUGCAAGUCGAGCGAACAGAUGAGGAGCUUGCUCCUCUGACGUUAGCGGCGGACGGGUGAGUAACACGUGGAUAACCUACCUAUAAGACUGGGAUAACUUCGGGAAACCGGAGCUAAUACCGGAUAAUAUAUUGAACCGCAUGGUUCAAUAGUGAAAGACGGUUUUGCUGUCACUUAUAGAUGGAUCCGCGCCGCAUUAGCUAGUUGGUAAGGUAACGGCUUACCAAGGCAACGAUGCGUAGCCGACCUGAGAGGUUGAUCGGCCACACUGGAACUGAGACACGGUCCAGACUCCUACGGGAGGCAGCAGUAGGGAAUCUUCCGCAAUGGGCGAAAGCCUGACGGAGCAACGCCGCGUGAGUGAUGAAGGUCUUCGGAUCGUAAAACUCUGUUAUUAGGGAAGAACAAAUGUGUAAGUAACUAUGCACGUCUUGACGGUACCUAAUCAGAAAGCCACGGCUAACUACGU